CCUACGGGAGGCAGCAGUGGGGAAUAUUGGACAAUGGGGGAAACCCUGAUCCAGCCAUGCCGCGUGUGUGAAGAAGGCCUUUUGGUUGUAAAGCACUUUAAGCAGUGAAGAAGACUCUUCGGUUAAUACCCGGAGACGAUGACAUUAGCUGCAGAAUAAGCACCGGCUAACUCUGUGCCAGCAGCCGCGGUAAUACAGAGGGUGCAAGCGUUAAUCGGAAUUACUGGGCGUAAAGCGAGCGUAGGUGGCUUGAUAAGUCAGAUGUGAAAUCCCCGGGCUUAACCUGGGAACUGCAUCUGAAACUGUUAGGCUAGAGUAGGUGAGAGGGAAGUAGAAUUUCAGGUGUAGCGGUGAAAUGCGUAGAGAUCUGAAGGAAUACCGAUGGCGAAGGCAGCUUCCUGGCAUCAUACUGACACUGAGGCUCGAAAGCGUGGGUAGCAAACAGGAUUAGAUACCCUGGUAGUCCACGCCGUAAACGAUGUCUACUAGUCGUUGGGUCCCUUGAGGACUUAGUGACGCAGCUAACGCAAUAAGUAGACCGCCUGGGGAGUACGGCCGCAAGGUUAAAACUCAAAGUGAAUUGACGG
rnacentral:rRNA from 1 species